rnacentral:lncRNA from 1 species
ACACAGAUAUGCAGUCCAUAGUGCUGCUCCUUAUCAACUUGUAGUUAGUAAGGACAAAGUAUAUCAACGUUACCAGACCACAUCUCUGGAUUAUUCACAGAGUCUGCUAUUUCUGUUUGUACUACCAGACCUGAGAAUAUUUAUGGUAAUGUCUGUGGUCCUAGCUUCUUGUCUUGCCCAUCUUCUCUCUCAUCCUGUCUAAUCAUUUACAGGUCAAUUCUCCCACUCUUACUUGUUGCAGCUCCCAUUCCUGCUGACUUCUGCUUUGGGUCAAUUGUGUGAGUAUACCAGCACCAAGCUUCUCAGUGUUUACUCACCCUCUGUUGCCUCAUCUGACUGAGCGUCCCUAAUUGUACAGCGAAGGUACAGGCUUGGAAGGCAUGAAAAUGUUGGCAUAUAGAGAAGUGUCAAAUACCUAG